rnacentral:rRNA from 1 species
CCUACGGGAGGCAGCAGUGAGGAAUAUUGGUCAAUGGACGAGAGUCUGAACCAGCCAAGUAGCGUGAAGGAUGACUGCCCUAUGGGUUGUAAACUUCUUUUAUAUGGGAAUAAAAUGUUCCACGUGUGGGAUUUUGUAUGUACCAUAUGAAUAAGGAUCGGCUAACUCCGUGCCAGCAGCCGCGGUAAUACGGAGGAUCCGAGCGUUAUCCGGAUUUAUUGGGUUUAAAGGGAGCGUAGGUGGAUUGUUAAGUCAGUUGUGAAAGUUUGCGGCUCAACCGUAAAAUUGCAGUUGAAACUGGCAGUCUUGAGUACAGUAGAGGUGGGCGGAAUUCGUGGUGUAGCGGUGAAAUGCUUAGAUAUCACGAAGAACUCCGAUUGCGAAGGCAGUUCACUGGACUGCAACUGACACUGAGGCUCGAAAGUGUGGGUAUCAAACAGAAUUAGAUACCCCUGUAGUC